UACGAAGGGGGCUAGCGUUGCUCGGAAUCACUGGGCGUAAAGCGCACGUAGGCGGCUUUUUAAGUUAGGGGUGAAAUCCUGGAGCUCAACUCCAGAACUGCCUUUGAUACUGGAAAGCUUGAGUUCGGGAGAGGUGAGUGGAACUGCGAGUGUAGAGGUGAAAUUCGUAGAUAUUCGCAAGAACACCAGUGGCGAAGGCGGCUCACUGGCCCGAUACUGACGCUGAGGCACGAAAGCGUGGGGAGCAAACAGG
rnacentral:rRNA from 1 species